AGAGUUUGAUCCUGGCUCAGGAUGAACGCUGGCGGCGUGCCUAAUACAUGCAAGUCGAACGAAUCUUCUUCGGAAGAUGAGUGGCGAACGGGUGAGUAAUACAUAGGUAACCUGCCCCUGUGCGGGGGAUAACAGGAGGAAACUCCUGCUAAUACCGCAUAGCCAUGAGCACCGCAUGGAGCUCAUGCCAAAUAUCCUUUCGGGGAUAGCGCAGGGAUGGACCUAUGGCGCAUUAGCUAGUUGGCGGGGCAACGGCCCACCAAGGCAACGAUGCGUAGCCGGCCUGAGAGGGCGGACGGCCACAUUGGGACUGAGACACGGCCCAGACUCCUACGGGAGGCAGCAGUAGGGAAUUUUCGGCAAUGGGGGAAACCCUGACCGAGCAACGCCGCGUGAGCGAAGAAGGCCUUCGGGUCGUAAAGCUCUGUUGUAAAGGAAGAACGGCGCAUACAGGAAAUGGUAUGCGAGUGACGGUACUUUACCAGAAAGCCACGGCUAACUACGUGCCAGCAGCCGCGGUAAUACGUAGGUGGCGAGCGUUAUCCGGAAUGAUUGGGCGUAAAGGGUGCGUAGGUGGCAGAUCAAGUCUGGAGUAAAAGGUAUGGGCUCAACCCGUACUGGCUCUGGAAACUGAUCAGCUAGAGAACAGAAGAGGACGGCGGAACUCCAUGUGUAGCGGUAAAAUGCGUAGAUAUAUGGAAGAACACCGGUGGCGAAGGCGGCCGUCUGGUCUGGAUUCUGACACUGAAGCACGAAAGCGUGGGGAGCAAAUAGGAUUAGAUACCCUAGUAGUCCACGCCGUAAACGAUGAGAACUAGGUGUUGGGGGAAUAACUCAGUGCCGCAGUUAACGCAGUAAGUUCUCCGCCUGGGGAGUAUGCACGCAAGUGUGAAACUCAAAGGAAUUGACGGGGGCCCGCACAAGCGGUGGAGUAUGUGGUUUAAUUCGAAGCAACGCGAAGAACCUUACCAGGCCUUGACAUCCCUUGCAGAGGUAUAGAGAUAUAUCCGAGGUUAUCAAGGAGACAGGUGGUGCAUGGUUGUCGUCAGCUCGUGUCGUGAGAUGUUGGGUUAAGU
rnacentral:rRNA from 1 species